GCGAACGCUGGCGGCAGGCCUAACACAUGCAAGUCGAGCGCCCCGCAAGGGGAGCGGCGGACGGGUGAGUAACGCGUGGGAAUAUGCCCUUUGCUACGGAAUAGUCUCGGGAAACUGGGGGUAAUACCGUAUACGCCCUUUGGGGGAAAGAUUUAUCGGCGAAGGAUUAGCCCGCGUUGGAUUAGGUAGUUGGUGGGGUAAUGGCCUACCAAGCCGACAAUCCAUAGCUGGUUUGAGAGGAUGAUCAGCCACACUGGGACUGAGACACGGCCCAGACUCCUACGGGAGGCAGCAGUGGGGAAUCUUAGACAAUGGGGGCAACCCUGAUCUAGCCAUGCCGCGUGAGUGAUGAAGGCCUUAGGGUUGUAAAGCUCUUUCAGCUGGGAAGAUAAUGACGGUACCAGCAGAAGAAGCCCCGGCUAACUCCGUG
rnacentral:rRNA from 1 species